UACAGAGGUCUCAAGCGUUGUUCGGAUUCAUUGGGCGUAAAGGGUGUGUAGGUGGCGCGCUAAGUCGGGUGUGAAAUUUCGGAGCUUAACUCCGAAACUGCAUUCGAUACUGGCGUGCUUGAGGACUGGAGAGGAGACUGGAAUUCCAGGUGUAGCGGUGAAAUGCGUUAGAUAUCUGGAGGAACACCGGUGGCGAAGGCGGCAAUCCUGGACCAAUAUUGACGCUGAGGAGCGAAAGCCAGGGGAGCAAACGGGG
rnacentral:rRNA from 1 species